UAACGAUAAAGAUCGUACGGAUUAUAGAAUCCUAGACGGGGAACAGAGACCCCUUCCUAUCUAUCCUCCUUUCCCGGGUUCUGUGCCUUUAUCGGUAUUACGAGCCUCAACCCCUCGCUGUUUACGAGAGAACCGCAUCGUUCCGUUAAAUGAAACCGAUAUUAUGUCAUCACAGUUACAGUUGGUUACUUAACCUCAUCAUUCCUUUUCUGGAAGUUUCUUAUUGUAAAUCAAGUAUAUUCAUGGUUUUCGUUCAUUUACAGAAAUUACGUUUAACAAAUAUUUAUACACCUUUGAUCUACGACCGUUCUGUUGCAUCUUCGCCGCUGUAUAUCUUGCUCUUUUCUAAUUAAAAUUUCAUCGAGAACCUCCAUUGAUCCGCCACGUAAUUGAAUGGUCUGAUGCACGGAAAUCUUCUAUUGAAUUUGCGAUGAAAAGAAAUUUCCGUUCCCAAUAAAGAAGAUUGCCUCUGAACCACUAAACGGAAAUGUUAACAAAGCAAAGAAGAGAGAAAAAUGUGCACCAACAAUUACAGUUUAUAUUAAGAGGACCGUCGUUUCACGCCCUUUGCAUACUUUCCUUUCUCUUUCACGAAAGAUAUGUAUUCAGUCUUAUAUAAUAAUCGCUUCGUAUUUCUUGGAAUAAAGAGUCUUUGAACGAAAUAACUGUUCUUGCAUCAGGUAAAACACGAAGUUAAUAUUGAAAUUCCAUCAUAUUCAAACGAAAUACGAAGAAAUUGAAAUUAUCAAAUCUCUUUAAGUAACAAAUUCAUAAUAAACAUUAACAUCUAUAUUUACUAACUACAUUUAUGUUACAGUUUCAAGAAUAUCAAUGAACACGAAUGGAAACAUGGUGAACGCAAGAAGUAAUUACAAUACGGAUAGUCUUUUACAGUUUCUGAAUUGGAGAAUUUCCUACAUAAUUCUAUAUUGCAAAAACGAAGAGGGAUUAAGGAGGAAGAUAGAAUUCUGGAACGUGAACGAUUCUGUCGAACGGAAAUGCAAUUCGCAGCGGCGCCGGUAGUCGAGUCUCAGCUCGAGUCGACAGAUAGAUAGAGUCAAGAUUCAAUUAGCUCUAGCUGUCAACUGCAUGAUACUCAUCGAUUCAAUACACCUUCUCGUUUGUGUGCCCCCGCACAUGCUUCUUUCUCGUGCGUGUUUGACUGCGUGAGCGAGCGCGCGCACGCGACCGUACGCCAGUUCAGGUUUCGCGUUUAGUCUCGUUACGUUUUGCACACCCGAACUCCUCCGUGUGUAUGUGUGUCAUCGUAUACCUGUACUAUACAUACGUGUUUUAUCACGUGAAUGUGCUUAGUACACGCGUGCAUGCUGAAAAUUAACCCGGUCGGGCAAAUCGUGAAUUUUGGAAAUGAUUUUACGGUCGCGGGAGAGUGCGAGGGAGUACAUAAAUUUUCGACGAGCUCGAUUUCACCGAAUAAUGAGACAGACCAUCUGUCGUAAUAGAAGUACCAGUAAUAUUCAAAUUCCUGAUUCACCGUGUUUAACGUGCAAAAAGAACCGUGUUAUACAAAAAGAAAACAUUCUAGCUAGUCAGUUUUCAACUAUAAAUUAUGUUGAUUGAAUCAAUAUGAGAAAUUUUGUUGAAUUUGUUUUAAAUAUCUAUUCAUUAUACGGUUGGUGCUCAUUUAUAAUAAUGGUAUGUAGAAAGAAACGAUAUAAUAAGCUUGAUAGUUAAAAUACUCAGAAUUGACCUCCAUUGAUAUAGUCACAUUCAGAACUAUAUAUGUUUCGUAAACACAUUUUAAAUCUUGGGUUGUAAAAGUUACUUGUGAAUUGAUAUUCUGCUUAUCUUUAUAAUCUUUCAGCAAAACUAUAGAAUAUUACGACCUCUUGCUCAAUGACGAUAGUCGUAUCAUAUAAUGAAAGUUAUCUAUAAUUCUUAAAGAUAUAAUUUCGAUUAACAUCGAGUUCGGUGCCCCUUUUAUAUUGAGUUUUUAAUUUUCUUGGUUCGAUUAAAGUACGCGGUUAAUAUAACGUUUUAACAUGGUUUUAAUUGAUCAUCCGUUCGUAAAGAUUCGGAUCCGCUAUUGAAUGGUCGUUUUGAAUACGUGAAAGAACACCCGUGGAAUUCUGUGGUGACCGAUGUGCGUGUAGGUGAUGUAGGUAUCACUUAUCCGAGAGCGGGGCGAUACCAGCCAUUUUCAAUUUAUUUCAAGAGCCUUUUCGUGGCGGAGAAAAGAAGGGUGCCACGACUACCGGCAGAGAGAUACCUAUACAAACGACCUUCGACUUCUCUGCUUCCGACGACCACUUCCAUCGGCAGCCGUAACCAAUAGCCGUUUCACGAACCUGAUAUUAAGGUAUUAAAGUUAUUUCGAUUCGAAUAUCAUCGGACAACGUGUAGUCGAUGCUUAGCAUUAUAAAUGAUCCAUCAAUAAUCAUAUACAUAUGCGAUUGAGAAAUCAAUCGAUAAUUAAACUAUGAUUAUGAUUAUAAGUAACAUUAGGCUUACCAAACCCAUCAAAAUGACGAAUUUUAGAGUUACUAAUGUAAUUGUAAGGUGACCGUAAAAGAUAAAAACUUUUGGAAAACCUAAUAUGCUUUUGGCGAAAUUAGUGUUUGCUUGUACUGAAAUAGAAAUAUGAUUAUGUAUACGCCUAUUUAUUUUCAUUAUACUAUUUUAAUUAUGAUUAUAUAUGUGUUCUUUACAGUUUAGUACAUAUUCUUUGUAUUUUUUGCAAUAUAUUAUAGAUCAUAGUUAAGUCUAGUAGGUUCUAGUGUUAACCAAUCUCGCAUGAACUUUAUUCUAUCUACUUUUAUUAUAUUUUAAACAAUAUGGAAUAGCUCCUAUGCGAAUGAAAUUGCUUUAUUUUGUAAACUAUAGUACGCCCCAGUUUUAUUCAUGUUAACGCCAUUGGUAAUUCAUUUUUUUCGUGGCUGAAAUUUUAACGUGAAGAAUGUUAUUGUUUUAUUAACCUAAUAUAAUCUUCUAAAUAUUUUUUUAUUGGGGAAUAUAGAAAUAAUAAAGAAUAGAAUCGAGAUUGAAAGCCUUCUAUUGCACAGAAUAUCAAAGUACAUAUAUGAUUUCACUUGGCGAUUCCUUUUUAACCACUUUUCAAAUGGUUAAUGAUACUCGCUUUUUGAUAAUAUGUAUUACGAAAUGACGGUUGAGUAGCUGCGCGCUUGAAAACCAUUUCAAACUAGAGUACUUAAAAACCUUCCAAUAUUCUCGUUAAUUUUCCUACAAACGCGCACUCGAGAUAUACAUACAAAAUAUGCUGGUAAAAUUAAACCAGCCGCUAGUACCAAAGCAGUGGUAAGUGUGAGCAAAAAAAGUCUGUGGAAAGAACCAUUUUUUACGAAAAAAUCCUUGUGCACGCUUUAUUUUCUAUUCACGUUCGUAUAACCGCAAAAUUCAAGGAAAAUACAGGAAUCUUCAAUUAUACAAAUAGGCACCUCAAUUACAGUAAAUAUAUCUUUAUACGUGAAAAUUACAAUUUUUGCAUAAAAACAGAUUCUAAUUCCACUCUCUAGAUAACUUUCAACGUUAUCAUAUUUUCAAUGCUCUCGUAUCAA